rnacentral:lncRNA from 1 species
ACUGGACCUUAUAUUUUUAAAGCUUAUCCAAACUAGCAGAAAAUACAAGAUUAUCGCAAAUAAAGUAGAUGCUCGUAUGUAUAAGACACACACAAACGCGACUCCAAAUGCACCAACUGACAUAAACAAUGCCGCAAAGCAUGUAUUACUAGCAGCCACGACAGUAGAAGGUAGGGAUUUAGGAAUAUGUCGCCGGCAGGCAAGGCAACCCAACCGCAACUACGGGGAUCCAAACUUGUCAGUACACAAGCGGCGAUGGCAACCUCUGAACGACGCCUCUGCAGCUCUGCUCUUCAUCUCGUUUUGUCCUUAGCCUUCGUGCAGUCGCUAGCUAUCAACGUUGGAGCCUCGUCAGACUCACCAGUGUCCAGUGAGCGGCUCAUACUGCGUCAGCCACAUGACAUCGACUCGCUCUCGCUUGCCUCGGCGUAGCUGAUAGCACCAUAUAUAAGAGCAAUCGGCUCCGAUCCUACUAGUUGCCUUGCUGCUGAUGGCUCAGUUUGCCAUUUAAUCUUGACCAGUCUUGGGGCCUAGCUUUGCAGAUUCUGUUGUGUGUGGCCUGCCUGCAGGAAAACAACGGUAAUGUAACAGUUGCCCUCUUCUCCUCUGCUAGUCCGCUGUGCACAAUGUAACGAAGAUAUAACAUAUACCAUCUUCCAGAGACUAUUGUGUAUAUGCGCGCGCAAAAUUGAAUAAUCUAACAGAGCGACAACAUGAAAGGUGAUUUAAGCUUAAGCCCAACAGCUGAGUUCUAAUGCUACUGUCUUGCUGAGACAAUAUUCUUUUACCGUACAAAGUGUUGAGUUUGUGAUCCAAAUUCUGCAUAUGGAGGACGUGUUGGCAAGCGGAGCGGAGACCUGUCACAGGGAGGCUUGGAACGGAGUACGACACACGGAUUUACGUGGAAAAUCCUUUAAUAAGAAGGGAAAAACCAAAGGGAGUGAACACAAAGCUAAAAAUACUUGGUGGUAGAACGAGGAAAUCCAGAGGGAUAUUAAGAAGAAAGAAUGUUAUAGCCGUUUGUAUCAUAACAAGAGUGUGGACAACAUAGAGAAAUACAAGGUAGCAAAGAAGGUUGUAAAACGAGUUGUAUGUGUGGAAAAGAGUAUAACGUAUGAGGAUCUUUACCAACUUUUAAGUAUAAAGAAAGGAGAGAAGGACAUAUAUAAGAUGGUUAAGAUCCAUGAGAGAAAGACAAGAGACUUCAACUAAGUUAAAUGUAUUGAGGAUAAAACACAAUACCUCUUGAUGAAGGAUGAGGUUAGAUAUAGAUGGUGAGAGUACUUUGACCAAUUAUUCAAUGGGACACAACCUUUUAGUUGAAUGACCCUUUUUGUAUGUAUGAUCCAGGGAUAUGAGGUUAAACAAGCAAUAAAAAGGAGUGAAGGGGUAGUGGUGGUAAGGAGAUAGGCUCUGAUGAUAUCACAAUUAAUGCAUGAAGAAGUCUUGAGAACAUAGCUAUAGCAUAGCUAACCAUGUUGUUUAACUAUAUCUUCUGGUUGAACAACAUGAACGAUAAGUGAAGAAAUAUAUUAGUACCAAUCUACAAGCUCCACUUGAUUAUUAAAUUUAUUCUUAGCGCAUGUUGUGAUCACAGCUCGAGUAUUAUAAUCUCAAUUACCUAUAGGAUUAUUAUAAUCUGAAUUGUGGACUAUAAUAAUCGCAGUGUUUGGAUUCCUGGACUGUCGUUGGUUCAAGUGACAAAUACCCAUAAUCUCCAAAAAGCAGGCCUCAGUUGGAUCAUAGGAUCACAAUCAGAUUAUUUUAGCUGAUUAUUAUAAUCACAAUGGAUCCAAACAUGCACUUAGUUUACUAAUCUUUGAUGGACAUAAAUGUUGAACAUUCUGCGUACAUAAAUCUUUGACAAAGGCAGUUAUCGGUGCUUUAGAGGGUGUUUGGAAGUAAAUUAUUUUUAGAGUUUUAAGGUAAAAUUAUGGUAUUAAAGAAUAUCAUAGUAUCUUUUUCUUAAGAGUUGUUUGACUAUAGUGUAAAAAACUUUGUUUUGAAUACUAUGACUUUAUCGAUAUUAUAGUAUUCUUAGAGUAUUUGAACUCUACACUAACUUAAAGUUUUUGUUAUUGACUAGUCUUGCACAUGUAUAUUAAUACCAUGGUUUGAGAUACCAUGAUGAUAACUAUGCUGGUAAUUAUGUUCACAAUGAUAGGUGCAAUACCUCUGGUGGAGUCCUGAACAGCCGCAUCUUCUCCUUCGUUCUUCGAUUGCAUUUUGCUCUUCUCCUCCGAUAGCUAGCAGCCUGAAGUGCGGGCCGGUCCGUUAGUAAGCCGUAGUAUUUGGUGCCGGUUGGGCAUUCCGUCGAACAGCUCCCGAGCAUCUACCCCCGUCGUUUAACGCCACGAGCGCGCCGCGCGCCCUCAUCUUGACGGGAAGUCGAGAGCCGUUUGGAAUCGGCGAAUCGCCACAGGUGACUUGUUCAUUUUCUCUUUCGCCUCCCCGGCGGACUGACCGGUCAGCGAGGACCAGCACAACCGCACAAGGAGGUUAGCGGUUCAAUUUCAGUUUGUUCUCUCUGGAAAUGGCAAUCUCCACAACGCGAAACCAUUUUUUGUCGGAAGGGGAAGCGAAACGUUUGUU